GAGGAGGCGCAGGCAGUUGCAGACUUCGGUCUGAGGAAAGUCCGGGCUUCCGAAAGACCAGACUUGCUGGGUAACGCCCAGUGCGGGCAACCGCGAGGAAAGUGCCACAGAAACAUACCGCCUGCUGAGGAGGUCGGGAAUUGGGGCAACCCACACUGCCCGCUCUCCCCAGUUCAGGUAAGGGUGCAAAGGUGCGGUAAGAGCGCACCAGCAGCGUCGAGAGGCGCUGGCUCGGUAAACCCCGGUCGGAAGCAAGGUCGAAGGAGCAAUGGUUGGUCUUUUUCCAGCUCCGAGCAGGACGGAGGAAACUCCACCCCUGCGGAAUCCGCUAGAGGUGUCUGGUAACAGGCAUCCCAGAUAGAUAACUGCCCUUCUGGGGGUGACCGCUUUGGCUGCUGCCUCCAGAAGAACAGAACCCGGCUUAUGUCCGCCUCUUCCCUU
rnacentral:RNase_P_RNA from 1 species